rnacentral:rRNA from 1 species
UACGUAGGGGGCAAGCGUUGUCCGGAAUCAUUGGGCGUAAAGCGCGUGUAGGCGGCCCGGUAAGUCCGCUGUGAAAGUCGGGGGCUCAACCCUCGAAUGCCGGUGGAUACUGUCGGGCUAGAGUGCGGAAGAGGCGAGUGGAAUUCCUGGUGUAGCGGUGAAAUGCGCAGAUAUCAGGAGGAACACCAAUUGCGAAGGCAGCUCGCUGGGACGUGACUGACGCUGAGACGCGAAAGAGUGGGGAGCAAACAGG